UAGUAUAAGUUGCAGCGAAUGUUGCUCU
rnacentral:sRNA from 1 species